rnacentral:rRNA from 1 species
UUUGACGGUACCGUAAGAAUAAGGAUCGGCUAACUUCGUGCAGCAGCCGCGGUAAUACGAAGGAUCCAAGCGUUGUCCGGUAUUUACGUGGGUUUAAAGGGAGCGUAGGCGGUCUCAUAAGUCAGUGGUGAAAGCCUUCAGCUUAACUGAAGAAUUGCCAUUGAAACUGCGAGACUCGAGUAUGGUUGAGGUCACUGGAAUAUAACAUGUAGCGGUGAAAUGCUUAGAUAUGUUAUAGAACACCAAUUGCGAAGGCAGGUGACUAAGCCAUAACUGACGCUGAGGCUCGAAAGCGUGGGGAGCAAACAGGAUUAGAUACCCUGGUAGUCCACGCCCUAAACGUUGAAUACUCGGUCUUGGCGAUAUACAGUCAGGGCCCAAGCGAAAGCGUUAAGUAUUCCACCUGGGAAGUACGUUCGCAAGAAUGAAACUCAAAGGAAUUGACGGGGGCCCGCACAAGCGGAGGAGCAUGUGGUUUAAUUCGAUGAUACGCGAGAAACCUUACCUGGGCUUGAAUGUGAGUGACCGG